UGUUCUGUGAUCUUAAAGGACGAGACAGACAAAACCUUUAAGAUCACAAAACA
rnacentral:pre_miRNA from 1 species